rnacentral:lncRNA from 1 species
GUACAUAUAUAAUCCCUAACUUUUCAUUCUCUAAUAGCAUUAAUACACUAAAAUCACAUAAGGGAACUAAAGAGGAAUUAAUCUAACUAUAUUAGAAAACCAAAUGCUGAGAUUUAGAGACUUGUUCCCAAAUAAGUUGGCCAAACAGUACCCUAUAUCUACUUUGCGUGAACUGUCGAGCUUGGAACAGUGACUACAAGCUAGGUGAUGA